UCGGUCCGGGACUUCAACCGUGGUUGGCCAUGUGGGGACCUGGUACAUUAACCACCAUGCUACUUCUUGGCCCCCAUAGUUUUCGUAUUUUAUUGUUUGUAUUUUAAACUUUAUUUUUCCUUCCACGAGUGAGAGAGAGGAGCAAGAGAGAGCACCCCCAGUCAGCCCUGGCGCCAGUCCACCCCACCCCUCACCCUGCCCUCGCUCUCGGCCAAGUCAAGGGGAAGCCUGGCGCAUCGGGGGUCUCCCGUGAACCGAGAGCCUUCGUGGAUUGCUUUGCCGAGUGUGAGGCUUUAACUGCCGUGCCACUGUCCAGCCCUGCGUCUUGUCGUAGCCGUUUGCUUCCUCACGUCCGACCUGCCUGGCAACGCGCUGGGGCCGGGCGGCGCUGCCCCAUGCCUCUGCAUUAGCCACGGGAAGGUGUGACCUGGACCGCAGAGGUGAACCCGGGACGUCCGUAUCUGCUGACUCCAUGCAGGCGCAGCUGCAGCUUCGUGCAUUUGAAUCCUUCGGGCCCCGAGUUCCCGUCCCUAGUCAGAGUGUGUGUUUUGGGAAACUGUGUUGCACUCAGGAGAUAAAGCCUCGGGACGCUUCAGACGCGCGGUGCCAGGUGUUGUCCACCGCGAUCUCGGCAGAAUAGGGGCGAUCGUGGAGUUGAGGGGAGGCCCUGGCAGCGUCUCACCCCACCCCCACAUGUUGCUGCCUGUUUGCUGCGUGUGUUUCCUGGUUGGUCACUAGAGACUCGGGCUGCAUGCUUUCGACGGCCUUUUCCACCUCCGAAAUUUCUAUCAUUUUUUUAAGCCUUUGAUUCAUACUUUGGCUUUGAGCUCUGAAGUCUUCCGGGUUCUGAAAUAAGAGGUCACUUUUGAAUCUCUUUUCCUUCUAAAACAUCAAGGCUGGUGAGACUAACCCCCGCUAGAGGGUGUCCCCGCAUGCAAAGGAACAUCCCACACUCCUCUGGGUGGUUUGACUGUAGAGCUUGAACAAUUUCUUCACUCAAACACAAGACUUUCUAGCUGGCUAGGGAAGGAACUUUCUGGGAAGGUGAGUACAGUCCCCCCAAAGGAGGUGCAGUGGCAGGCAGUAGCCAGGCCGGAGCUCGCAGGUCAGGCUUGGAGCAGGCUGCUGUGACGUCCCUGAUGCCGCAGAACCCACGUCAGAACUUGGUUCUCCACCGGGCCAGACCCCAGUUCCUGUCGCUGCAAAGGCCUGCCGGGUGAGUGUGGUGCAGGGCACUCUACAGAGCGGAGUGGAGCGCCCCACAGGCCAGUGGCGAGCGACAGACCUCCAUGGCCGGACCUGUGGCCCUGGGACAUCUGGUCUGUACCUGCAGUGCAUCUCGAGUGGCCGGACUGGCCUCCAGGCGCACCCGUCCUGUAGAGCCAGGGACGCUGGCCAGAGGGCAGCCGCUGCACACUGGCCCCUGGACAGGCUGGGAGCCCACCGGCCGGCCAUCCAUCUUCCCUGCGCUCACCCGCUCGCCCAGUCAAUAUGUCUCUCUCCGAUGGGAAAGUUAAUAAAUUUUGCUCUAGAUUAAAA